ACUCCUACGGGAGGCAGCAGUGGGGAAUAUUGCACAAUGGGGGAAACCCUGAUGCAGCAACGCCGCGUGAGUGAUGACGGUCUUCGGAUUGUAAAGCUCUGUCUUUAGGGACGAUAAUGACGGUACCUGAGGAGGAAGCCACGGCUAACUACGUGCCAGCAGCCGCGGUAAU
rnacentral:rRNA from 1 species